rnacentral:rRNA from 1 species
AUUGAACGCUGGCGGCAGGCCUAACACAUGCAAGUCGAGCGGAUGAAGGGAGCUUGCUCCUGGAUUCAGCGGCGGACGGGUGAGUAAUGCCUAGGAAUCUGCCUGGUAGUGGGGGAUAACGUCCGGAAACGGGCGCUAAUACCGCAUACGUCCUGAGGGAGAAAGUGGGGGAUCUUCGGACCUCACGCUAUCAGAUGAGCCUAGGUCGGAUUAGCUAGUUGGUGGGGUAAAGGCCUACCAAGGCGACGAUCCGUAACUGGUCUGAGAGGAUGAUCAGUCACACUGGAACUGAGACACGGUCCAGACUCCUACGGGAGGCAGCAGUGGGGAAUAUUGGACGAUGGGCGAAAGCCUGAUCCAGCCAUGCCGCGUGUGUGAAGAAGGUCUUCUGAUUGUAAAGCACUUUAAGUUGGGAGGAAGGGCAGUAAGUUAAUACCUUGCUGUUUUGACGUUACCAACAGAAUAAGCACCGGCUAACUUCGUG